CCGGGCGCAGCGCAAACACCUCCCGCCGCGGAAGCUCUUGGCGCGCUGGCUUCCUCUCCCGGACUCCCUCUCGCGCCCAUUAAACCUCUCUAGAGCCACCGCGCACCACCUUCCUGCAAUUUACACCCUGCAGGCGGCCACCCCACUCCUGCCCCGCACAGACGUCCCGGCCUGUAGCUCCGGGAAGGGGAGGGCCAGAUCUCUUUCAGGCGGUGAUGUCAUCUGCCCUGUAUGUGGCUCCUGGCUUCUUACCCCCCCCCCCCGAGCCCAUCUCCUCUAAUAUAGUUUGUCCAGCCAUUGUCUAGCCUUAACUAAUUGAUUCCCAUCACGACGAACGCAGCAAGACAGUCCAAGUGCGGAACCGUGAGGCACACUUGUUCGCGUGUGCACACUCCCUGAGAGGUGAUUCCAAUGUCAGCCAAGAGAAGCGUGGGGUUGGGGUCAGAGGCAUCCUUCCCUCUCCAGCUUCUGCACAGCCCUCCUAUUGCACUUUUUAAUUUUUUGGUACCAGGGAUCGAACUCGGGUCCUUGCGCUUGCGCAGCAGGCGGCGAAACCACUGAGCUAAAUCCUCGGCCCUAUUAUUGCACUUUAAAAAAAAAAAAAAAAUUAAAGCAGAUUGAUUGUGGUUUGGCGUCUUCCCUAUUAGCCACUCUCUAGUCCUAGCAGCUGUUAAGAGUGUCCCCGCCCAAUCUGGAAGGGAAACCUAAACCUUUAACACUCAGUUAUAAACUCAAGUUGACAUAACAGAUUAGGAAUGCCUGGAACUGAAAUGAGAGAUGAAUAAAGAAAGAUCAGUAUAAAAACCUGGCCUCGCCACCCUCUCCUCAUUACCUCCUGUUCUCUUGCCAAAAGGGGAAGCUUAGCACUGAUGUUCCAGAAGGGAACGCAGAGUUAACAGCUGAGCCUAAGUGAACAGGCAGCAAUCCCUCCAGCACGUCACACACAGCAACAGAGUGUCACCUAUGAGAUCUUCCUGGGCAGGGAGCCUCCAGGCCAAAAACUAUGUUAUUCGGGUACGAACUCCUGCAGGAUGCUGUAUUAUACUUGCAUGGGAAGUUAAAGUAGACUUAACCUCCUUUCCAAUCCACAUCCCACCCCACCCGCAACUUUCCUGAUAAACAUGCUUGCCCUUUUUCUUUGUGAGAGCUUACUACCUUACAAGUUCUUCCCUUUUAAUGUUUAAGGAAGUUCUUUAAUUCAGUUGAAUUCUGAACACCCUUCUUCCCCUAAUAUUCUUCUGCUCCUGAUAUUAUUUCUACCACCAGACUUUUUUAAAAAAAAAAUCUAGGCUAAGCUUCCUCAGUUACUUCCAGUGUUCACUAUUUUCUAGUAGUUUUCGAUCUUAAGCCACCCUCCUGGUCACUUUCUCAGGAGGAUUGUUAGUUUAUCAACAUACUUCUCAAAGUGACCACUGUUCCUUGGGUGGUCUGGUCAGGAUAAAUCCAGUGGAUCGUGGCCAUACUCUCUUGAGGAUGUAUCUGUUUAAACACACUUGAGUUGCUUCUUAGUCAUAAUGAGCUUGUGUUCAAUUAAAAUCCCAUAGUAUUUUUCACUUGACCUGUUGCAGAAUCGUUUUGUACUUGCACAGUAUAUUUUGGAAAUUUUAUUAUGAAACUUUGCAUGUACUGUGGUUAAAAUUUAUUGGUUUCAACCAAGUACUGUAUCAUUCUGUUAAAAUUUUUUGUUGAGUUGUGACCCAAUCACCCCAUAUAUCUCUCUUUUAAGCUUUCUUUUAUCUCUGGACUGGGCAAUCACUUGAUCCACCUUGUGUUUUUAAAAAGAUGAAUAGAAAAAAUAAAAACAAAGAGUCCUAAAAUCUCACUCUACCUAGACAAUGAGCCACUAACUAAACUUCUUUAGUACGAUUGCUCAAUCAUAAACACUCAAACACAUCUUUCUACUUCCCAAAUGUAAAGCACAACACAUUUAGAAAAUUUAAAUAAAAGCCAUACGUGAGAGGAAGUAGAUUUGUAAUAAUCCAUAGGAAAGCAGUAGGAUCAAUCACCUACAUUUACAGGGAACAAAUUUUCGGCAAUACAUUUUAAACAGUUCCAAAAUGGAAUGAAGUACCUUUUGUUGUGUACAAACAAUUGUUAUCCAAUAACAGGAAUAUUUAGGAGAAAAAUAUUCUAGAGGUUAGAAAUCUGGAAUAGAAUGUGGCCAUGUUCUAGACAUCUUUGGGAUUCUAUGAUUUUAUUGAAAGUCUCACCAAUUUUGGGAAACAUAGAGUGACUGAAAUUUUUCGGUCUGAUGAUUUUACCGCCAUCCAAACUACCACAUCAGUUUGGCUUCACUUUACAAAUUUUAGGUCCAUUUAUACAUAUUCUCAAUAUUUGUAAUGUUUUCUGUUUAUCAACCCUAUUUUAAUGGUGACUUUGAGGCUUUUAGAAGAGGUUUUGGAAAAAGACAUUUUUUGCCUUUGAUUCCUAUUAGCCACUUCUCGUGUCCUCCCCUCUCUUAAAAGUAACAGCUUUUGUUCUCUUCAAUCAUCUGCUGUUUUCCUUGAUUUUUGAUGGUGGUUCUCAGGCACUUGUGCAAAUACCUGAAGUUUCCUGAAAUACAUUGGCUUUGUUUGUUUGAGACAGUCUUCUACGUUGCUCAGGCUGGCCUUGAACUUGCAAUCCUCUUAUCUCAGCCUCCCAAGUACCUGUGACUACAAACAUGCGCCAACAUGCCUGACUUUUAAGAGUUUUUAUAUUUAAAAUGAUUAAGACAUUUCUGCAGCUAUUUUUGUUUCAAUCCUUCUUUGCUGGUGUUUGUUUGGCCUUUUCCAGCUUGAUGACCAUCCUGUCCUUACAGUUGAUGGGUGAAACUAUUUUCCAAACAGUAUACUCAACAAUUUUUAUAUUCUGUAAGUUGUCCUUUGGUGUCCAUGGGGAAAUGGUGCCAGACACCAAGAUUCGAAAAUGCCCAAGUCCCUUAUAUAAAGUGGCAUACUGUCUGCACAUGACUACAUACAUCCUUCCAUGCACUUUAAGUCAUCUCUAGGUUGUUAAUAAUCCCUAAUGCAAUGUAUGUAAAUUGUUGUUAUACUAUGUUGUUUGGGAAAUAAUGACAAGAAAAGAAGUCUGUACAGAUUCAAUACAGACACCCUAUUUUUUCCCGAAUAUUUUCUAUCCACAGUUAGUGGAAUUCAUGGAUGCAGAACCUGUGCACAUGGAGCCAAGUGUGCUUCUUUGCAUAAAGCCCUCCCAUUGCAUUUCUCUGCACCUAAAUAAAAUCUGGAAUUCUCCCCAUGGCCUGGCAAGGUUGGCCCUGAGCCAUGGCUGCUCUCUCCACACAGGUCUGCUGCUCUCUGUCUUGUCUACAAUGUUCCAACUGCACUUAAUAAAAAAUGUACUCACACUUAUCAAGAUUUUCCCAACUAUUAUUAUUUUAGUGUUGUCACCCAGUGUCCCCUCUGCUUAGAAUGCUCUUCAUUCUGCAACUGGUUUCUUGCGAGUUUGGUCUGGUCUCAAAUGUGCUGGUCAUUUUUUCUAAAUUGGCUACCAGGGCCGGGGAUUUAGCUCAGUGGUUCCGCUGCCUUCCCGGCCCUAAACUGGCUACUGCUCGCCUCCCUCACCUGCAACUACUUUACUCAUUAUCCCGUUUGUUUCUCAGGUCUUUUUUUCACUGUCAACAUUUAUUUUUUUUUACUUUAUGUACUUGCUUAUUUUCUGUCUCCUCCCAUCAGGAUAUUUCUUCUCCAUGAAAGCAACCUUGUUGUUUCUGUUUGCUGCUGUGUUCCCCUGCCUAGAUUGGUGCCAGGCAGGUACUAGGUCAUCUUCCUAGAAAACGCAAAUCUACAAAAAAAUGAAUGGAUGAAGAUCUAAGAGUAAUGCAGAAGGAGUGAAGAGCUAAAGCCAGGAUCAAUACAGGGCACAGAAAAGGAGUCGUUAGAGAAAUAGGAGAAGGUUCAGCCAGACUCAGCACCACAGUAGCCAGAAGGAAAGAGAGCUUUCAGACCUGAAGGACACUCUUCCUUUGAGGGACUCAAGAUAAUUAUGUUUGAAGAUUGAGGAAGAUGAUGGUACAGAGCCUGAGGUGUUCAGAAGUUUUGAGAUGGAGGAGACAAAAUGAUUGGUCCAGAAGACUGGCAUCUCAGAUAUGCACAGGGAGCUUAGUUUUGCAGAGGGAAGAAACUCAUUUCACUAAGAUUGGCAAGGGACUAACUCCUCUGAGCCUCAGGGUCUUGAAACAGAAUGAGAAAAAUACUACUACCUGCUUCAUAGAAAGAAUGAGAGACAGGAGUAGUGGCAGUGAUUUUCUGAGUAAAGAAUGGAGCUGGGGACAGUGGUACACACCUGUAACGACAGCACUCUGGGAGGGUGAGGCAGGAGGGUGGCAAGUUCAAGCCAACUCUGUGCAACUCAGCAACUUAGUGAGAGCCUGUCUCAAAAUUUAAAAAGUACUGAAGGGCUCGAGAUGAAGCUCAGUGCUGAGGUCCUGGCUUGAUCUGUGGUGUGAAAUAGUAGUAAUAAUUAUAAUAAUAGAAGAAUGGGACCUUAAUCUAUACAUCUUGAUCUUGGUAAAGCCAUAUUAUCCACAGAUUGAAGAUAGUAAGGAGGCCCAGUGGAAUGUGAGACUGGGGAGAUGCUGUGAAUCACUGGGGGAACCUUCACGAAGCAUAGAAGAAUGACAAGAGAACCAUUUCCAGACAAAUCCAUACCUCAACUAAGAGUCAAGCUGCAGAAAUCAGAGCCCAACCGAGGAACAACUCAAUGCUAAUCAGAAACAUCACUGAAGAAGGAGACAAACCACAAAAUGAGGCCAGGUGGCAGACAGGAGACCUUGUUCCAGUCCAACUGAGUCACUGACCCUUUCUGAACCAAUUCUCACUUUCUAAUUGCUAGACUCCUGAGUUGCUAGAAUCACAAAGGAGAUAAUAAGUGUGGCUCUGUCAAGUUCCACAGACCAGGAAGAUUUAGGUAUAUAUUUAGACAAUGUCUUAAAUUUUUAGAGAUGUGCUUCAUUGUUAAUUUCAGCAUGAUGAGAUUUAAUCAACUGUUCAUGACUUAUUAUUACCUCUAUUAUUAUUUCCAUCACCAACAACAUUAUCUUCAUCUUCAUCAUAAUGCUAUUUGAGAACAUAGUUUGCUGCCAGAAUAAUGGUAUGUGUUUAGUUGGAGUAACUCCUUUAAUCCUCAUAAGUUUUAAUGAGUGGGCAAAAUUAUUGUUUUUUCAUUUUUGAGGGAAAUAAAUACAAGAAGUUAAAUGACUUAGUUACUGAGAGCAAAUGGCAGAACCACGACUCAAACCCAGGGCCCUUGUCUCCAACGCUGUAAGGAUUUAAGUCCUUCUUAGAAGAUCUCCACUACAAAAGAUAUUUUCUUAUGCAAGCCAGUCAGGAAGUUUGUGAAUGGGAAGUUCUCAGAUGAGUGUUGUCUAUGUUUACUGUAUAUGUGUGUAUUUAUGUAUGAGGAAAGAGUAAGGAUAAUACUUUUACUCACAAAACUUCUAGUGUGAUGGAAAAUAUAAAAUUCAAGAAAAGAGAUGUCAGAAAAUCUAAUGUAUUCUGUAUUUUAAAAUUUGUUUUGCUUUCUUUUUUCUUUCUGUUGAUUUUUUUUGUAAUAAGAACAACUGUUUGGCCCCAUCUAAUAAAAUAGUUUUAUUUUUAAGACACAGAACAUAUUCAUUGAAUCAUCCUGACAUAUCUGUGAGAUUCAAGAGACGAGUCAUCUACUUUAAAGAUGGCAAAAUCUGGUAUCUGGGAGAGUAAAUGAUUUGUGUAUUGUUAGACCUCAUUUAGAAAAGUUACUGAUGCUUAUUCUAUGCCAGGUACUGUACGAGUCUUUGGCUUUGUUUGUUUUUGAAAACAAGGUCUCACUAUGGAGUUCAGGCUGAUCUCAAACUUAAAUUUAUGAUCUUCCUUCCUCAGUUUCCUGAGUGCUAGGAUUACAGGAAUGUGCCACAGUGUCCUGAAUUCUGACUUUGUCUUUAGCAAUAACUGUGAAUUAGAAUUGUGAUAAGAACUAUUGUAUUGCUGUGGCCUGAAAGAUAGAGUCAUGAAUUUGGAGCUGAGAAAAGGGGACAGUUUGUAAAGUUUUGAAAGAGGUAAUAGUUGAGAGUGACCUGGGGAGGAUGAGUAGAAUUUCCCAAAGACUGGGGUCAGUGGGUGUUCUGAGAGAAUCACCUUGUAGAUACAGUUGGCAUUCUUAUGGUUCUUAGUGAGGCCACUUUUCACUGAAUGACACUGCCAUUGUCGAGUAAGGUUGAGAUUUGGAGUGGCCCGGUGGAGCGAUGGAAAGAGUGACAUCUCCAGGGUCAAACAGGCUUAUCCUGGAUAGUCUACUGGGCUAGGUACUUAACUCCUCUGAGCCUCAGGGUCUUGAAACAGAAUGAGAAAAAU
ensembl:lncRNA